CGGCAGGCCCCAGUUCCUCCCUUGAUUAAAAUAGACCAAGGGGCCACCCACGCCUCCUCCCAAGAUGACUGCCAAGCCCUUUCCUCUGAAUUCCUCAUGGAGUGCCUGGCUUUCUUUUCAAGAGGAACAGCCCUUCUGCCUCUGAAGUGGGGCCCAGAGACCCAGGAUGCUGUGCAGAUCAGUUGGAGAGAGGCUUGAACUAGCAGACUUCCACCUCCCCAACCCCAGGAGCUGUCAACCUCAUCGGUGGCCCAGCCGUCUCAGAGAGGAGGGAGAUUAGCCAAGGUUAUGAGGCCCUUGUGUUUUCACAGCCGCAGGGAGGGCCCUCCAGGGGCAGAGAUGGGCAUAGGGAACAACGGCUCUGGCUCCAGUCUGGGGAGAGAAAGGAGAGAGAAGAAGGGGAGAGACUGCAGGAGGCAGAGUCAGAUCCAGGUGAGAGGGGAAAAGGGGUGCAGGUAGCUCGGAGAAGGUGUCACCUGUCUGCAUUGGCCCCCUGCCACCCAAAAGGGCUGUUUGCAAAGCCCAGGAAUACUGUUCCUUGCAUGGGAAGCCUAUGAGAUGAGUCAGGUCACCCUGAUCACUGAACAGGGAGUCUCCUGCCUGCUUCACCUCUGUCUGGGUGUGUGAGGGUAGGCAAGUCACUAGCCCUCCCUGAGCUUUGGUUGCUUCAUCAGGACAGUGAGGGGAUUGAAUGAACUCUAAGGCCCCUUCCUGCUCUAACAGGCAACAGACUUUGAUGUGAUCAUUUCAGAAAUAAAGAAAUGGAAAAUCUGUA
ensembl:lncRNA